rnacentral:lncRNA from 1 species
CUGUAGUGCUGGCUGAUCAGGCUGAACCAUUUCACCCUCCGGGGUAAACACAAUAUGCGGAGUGUGGUUGCAGAGCAGAGGAAAGCUCAGAUUUACAGCCUUUUAUCUCUUAAUUUUAACUUUGAUGCCUAUGGCUGAAAUCUGAUGUACUCUCAAGGUUUCUUCCUCCCAUAGCUAUCAAAUAACAGCAAGCAAUCUACAACGCCUGGGCAUUUUGCAGGAGGAAGGAAAUAUCUUCUGGAAAUAUCAAGAGUAACCUUCGACUCUCGGUGCGCUGGUGUUCACUUGUUUUUUCUCAGGUCGUACAGCAGGAAACUCUGUAAGGGAAGUGGCCUGAGUAAUAAACCAAGAGACAACAACAGUACAAGGACAAUGAAAACCAGUUCCAUGUUUAAGGAUGCUUGGGGGAAAACCGGGUUAAACAAAGCUCUGACGCUGUCUCAUGAAUGAACCUUUGUCCUUCUCUGGCUGUUGUUUGGUGUGGACACUUGCAGCAUGGAGCUUUGUAACCAGAUAGAGAAAGUUUAGUGAUCAUGAAGAUUACCGCUAAUCGACAGGCUAGAGUCUGACAACACUGACAGAGAACAAAAGACAGCAUAGCUGUUGUGGUUUCUAGUUGGGAGAACACAAUACAAAAUUGUAGC